rnacentral:rRNA from 1 species
UACGGAGGGUGCGAGCGUUGUCCGGAAUCACUGGGCGUAAAGGGCGCGUAGGCGGCUUCUCAAGCGUGCGGUGAAAGCUCGGGGCUUAACUCCGAGUCUGCCGUGCGAACUGGGAGGCUUGAGUCUGGUAGAGGUCGAUGGAAUUCCGGGUGUAGCGGUGGAAUGCGUAGAUAUCGGAAGGAACAUCAGUGGCGAAAGCGGCUUCCUGGACCAGUACCGACGUUCAGGCACGAAAGCGUGGGGAGCAAACAGG